ACCGUGAGGGAAAGGUGAAAAGCACCCCGGGAGGGGAGUGAAACAGUACCUGAAACCGUGCGCCCACGAGCAGUCGGAGCACCUUUAUGGUGUGACGGCGUGCCUUUUGUAGAAUGAGCCAGCGAGUCGCUGGCGCGGGGCGAGGUUAACCGAAAGGGAGCCGGAGCGAAAGCGAGCCUUAACAGGGCGACUUGAGUCCCGCGCCGCGGACGCGAAGCCGGGUGAGCUAUCCGUGGGCAGGCUGAAGCGGGGGUAAGACCCCGUGGAGGGCCGAACGCACGUCGGUUGAAAACGGCGGCGAUGACCUGCGGAUAGGGGUGAAAGGCCAAUCAAACCCGGAGAUAUCUCGUUCUCCCCGAAAUAGCUUUAGGGCUAGCGUCGCGCGUUCACCGCCGGAGGUAGAGCACCGGAUGGACGAGGGGGCUUCGCCGCCUACCGAAUCCAACCGAACUCCGAAUGCCGGCGGCCCAGAGCGCGGCAGUCAGAGCAUGUGGGCUAAGCUGUGUGCUCGAGAGGGAAACAGCCCGGACCGCCCGCUAAGGUCCCCAAGUUCCAGCCGAGUGGCAAAGGAUGUGCGUCCGCCCAGACAACCAGGAUGUUGGCUUAGAAGCAGCCACCCCUUCAAAGAGUGCGUAACAGCUCACUGGUCGAGUGGACAUGCGCCGACAAUACACGGGGCUAAGCUGGACACCGAAGCGGCGGGAUUUUAAUUCAUUAGAAUCGGUAGGGGAGCUUCCCAUGGGCGGAGAAGCCGGAGGGCGACCGACGGUGGAGCGCAUGGGAGUGAGAAUGCUGGCAUGAGUAGCGAGAGACGAGAGAGUAACUCGUCCGCCGUGAACCCGAGGUUUCCUGGGCAAGGCUAAUCCUCCCAGGGUCAGUCGGGGGCUAAGGCGAGGCCGGUAGGCGUAGCCGACGCGCAGCAGGCAGACAUUCCUGCACCGCGCACGCGGCGCUACGACCGACGGGGCGACGGAUGGGGGUGGCUCGGCGGGGUUCUGGACGUCCCCGUGAUGGAGCGCGGCCCGCGGACCAGGGAAAUCCGGUCCGCAGAAGGGCGAGGCUCCGGACGAAGCGACUGAGCGAAGCGAGUGAGCCCGAGGUCCCUAGAAAAACCCCUAGGCAGGCGCGUGCGCGCCCGUACCGCAAACCGACACAGGUGGGUGGGUAGAACAUACCGAGGCGAUCGGGUCAACCAUGGUCAAGGAACUCGGCACAAUGGCCCCGUAACUUCGGGAGAAGGGGUGCCCGCGCGUACGUGAACGGACUUGCUCCGGGAGCGGAGGCGGGCCGCAGUGGAGAGGCCCAAGCGACUGUUUACCAAAAACACAGGACUCUGCAGAAGCCGCAAGGCGACGUAUAGGGUCUGACGCCUGCCCGGUGCCGGAAGGUCACGAGGAGCCGUCAGCGAAAGCGAAGCGGCGAAUCCAAGCCCCGGUAAACGGCGGCCGUAACUAUAACGGUCCUAAGGUAGCGAAAUUCCUUGUCGGGUAAGUUCCGACCUGCACGAAAGGCGCAACGACUUGGGCGCUGUCUCGACCAUGGACCCGGUGAAAUUGCACUGGUCGUGAAGAUGCGACUUACCCGCGGAAGGACGGAAAGACCCCGUGAACCUUCACUGCAGCUUGGCAUUGGCCGCUGGUCCCGCGUGUAGAGGAUAGGCAGGAGGCAUCGAUCCGGAGGCGCCAGCCCCCGGGGAGCCGCCCUUGGAAUACUGCCCUCGCGCGACCGGCGUCCUAACCCGAGGCCGUCAACCGGCUCGGGGACCGUGCCAGGCGGGCAGUUUGACUGGGGCGGUCGCCUCCCAAAGAGUAACGGAGGCGCCCAAAGAUACCCUCAGCUUGGAUGGAAACCAAGCGCAGAGUGCAAAGGCAAAAGGGUGUUUGACUGCGAGACCAACAAGUCGAGCAGGGACGAAAGUCGGGCUUAGUGAUCCGGCGGUGCUGAAUGGAAAGGCCGUCGCUCAACGGAUAAAAGCUACCCUGGGGAUAACAGGCUGAUCUCCCCCAAGAGUCCACAUCGACGGGGAGGUUUGGCACCUCGAUGUCGGCUCAUCGCAUCCUGGGGCUGUAGUAGGUCCCAA
rnacentral:rRNA from 1 species